GACGAACGCUGGCGGCGUGCUUAACACAUGCAAGUCGAACGGAAAGGCACUGCUUUUGUGGGGUGCUCGAGUGGCGAACGGGUGAGUAACACGUGAGUAACCUGCCCUUGACUUUGGGAUAACUUCAGGAAACUGGGGCUAAUACCGGAUAGGAGCUCCUGCUGCAUGGUGGGGGUUGGAACGUUUCGGCGGUUGGGGAUGGACUCGCGGCUUAUCAGCUUGUUGGUUGGGUAGUGGCUUACCAAGGCUUUGACGGGUAGCCGGCCUUAGAGGGUGACCGGCCACAUUGGGACUGAGAUACGGACCAGACUCCUACGGGAGGCAGAGGUGGGAAAUAUUGCACAAUGGGCGGAAGCCUGAUGCAGCAACGCCGCGUGCGGGAUGACGGCCUUCGGGUUGUAAACCGCUUUCGCCUGUGACGAAGCGUGAGUGACGGUAAUGGGUAAAGAAGCACCGGCUAACUACGUG
rnacentral:rRNA from 1 species